rnacentral:pre_miRNA from 1 species
CUCUUUGGUGAAAUAGCUGUUUGUAGCCGUGAAACAAAAAGCUAUUUUACCUAAGCU